CUCAGCCAAAAAUCUAAGCUUAGCUCUAAAGGAGGCUGCAGUCUUGAUGCACUUUGCAUCCAGAGAUCUCAAAGAACUUUAUGCGUCAUUUAUUGUGAGACUUGUGUAAAAGACUAAUUAGUUACCUGAGGCUUGAGAAUGGGAUGGGGGUAGAUGUCUGAGGCAUAUUUAUACAAUAAUCCAGUUGGUGGGGGAGGGGGGAGACAUCUCUGGUUUAGCAGUUUCCGCUUCUUCUCUGAAGCACCUUCUCACAGUACUCUUAGCAGUGAAAACACGAAAUGGCCAAAGAGAGGUUUUGCUUCUUACUCCAAAGUCCAUUCUUAAGCAGCUGGUCAGAUACAUGCAGAGCACAGAGCCCUGCUUGGGAAGGUAGCUUCGGAGAACAAAUUGCCACCUAAAACGAUUGGGCAGGACCAGCUUCUCCCAAAGCUAAAAAUGGUUUGAAAUUGAGACUCCAAGCAAGCAGAUUCUUUUCUUCUGGCAGUGAAAAUGUGAAGAUCUGAGCCAUAUGAAAUGAAGCCAGUUUUCAGUGAGUGCAUUUUGCUGAAACUAAGAGUGACCUGUGUGUGUCCAUGACUUCUAGAAGUUGAUAACUGAGUAGUCCUUUGUCACACAAAGGAAGCAAGAGACCUGAGGAUCAGGGGGACACAUGACUCACAACACCCUCCAAGGCAAAAAGGACAAGUAUUAGGAAGGUGAGAGAAGCAUGCAAGGUGUAUGCAUCAGCUAUGCCCAUGGUGAAGCUCAAGCCAGAAUGCUAUGAAUUGAGGCCACAAGCACAAAGGUCAAGGUAGAAAAUAAAAACCUCCACCUCCAUUUGUAAGUAAUGUGUGUCCCUCGCUCUCUCAUUCCUUUCCUCAAUUUAGCUUCAUAAGCCUUUGUUGAAGGAUUUUCUGUCUCAUUUAAAAAUAAAGGUGGGUGAGAGAGUGUUGUUUUCAGAUGAGCAGGCCAGAUGCGACAGCCUCCGUGGAGUAAAUACAUAUUCUGAUUUCUUUGUUUGUUUGUUUGUUCUGCUUAUAUAAAAAUAACUUAUGGAAGCUGAAAUACUGCAAGUGUGUAUUAAAAGCUGAAGAGACAAGGGUUUGGAGCAAUGAAUGAGAUGAAAGAGAAAGCUGCUUCAGGCAAGAUGAAAGCCAAGCAAAGGGCCGUUAAUCAUCCCAGCUGGAGAUAAACAAGAGAAAAACAGUGUCUCCUCAGAGGCGAGGAGGAGCCCCACUAUCCACCGUGGAAAUGUCUCUGACAUCGAAGUUACUGAGCUGGUUACUAAGCUUUCUAUUUCUGCUCUGUCAAAGUCAUCCCAUUAAAACUUAAAAUAAGCCUGCAA